UACAGAGGGGGCAAGCGUUGUUCGGAAUUACUGGGCGUAAAGGGCGCGUAGGCGGUUCGUUAAGUCCUGUGUGAAAUCCCCCGGCUCAACUGGGGAACUGCACAGGAAACUAGCGGGCUUGAGUUCGGGAGAGGGAAGCGGAAUUCCGGGUGUAGCGGUGAAAUGCGUAGAUAUCCGGAGGAAUACCGGUGGCGAAGGCGGCAUCCUGGACCAUAACUGACGCUGAGGCGCGAAAGCUAGGGGAGCAAACGGG
rnacentral:rRNA from 1 species